GGAUGGAGGUGGGGAGGCUUCAGGAUGCAGGAAUGGGCUGUGAUUGUUCUCAGAGCUCAGGAAUUCAGGUGACUGAGGGUCUUCUGCAGACAGGAGUCAGAUCCAUCAGUCCUGAUUAGUGCAAAUUUUCCUGAAGCUUUUGGGCAUAAUCUGGUAAGCAAUUCAGCAGAUAAACAAGGACAGCUGCCUACAAGUCAACCAUGGUGCACCUCAGCUGACAGUGAGGGAUGCCGUUUCAGAAGACUGACUGUGCUUGAGAUUUUUAUAAAUAAGGACCCCUUUCCUCACUUCAAACUCCCAAAAAUGUCUGAGUUGUGGAAAUGGUUGGAAGUUGAGUCCGUCAGCUGGCAGAGGCCUGGAAGACACCAGCCCUCUCACCAGACCCUAUGCAGAGUUGUGGUUUUCCAGGAAGCAUUAGGGGCCAAGAGCACAGAGCUGUGGCAUGAAGGGAUCCAGGAAAAGGUGGAAGAAACAGCCAGGCAAGAAAGUACAAGUUCAUGUCAGCACUCCAGCGCCCUGCUCACUCCUGCUCAAGUGAGCUGACCUGCUACUGCCAGAAUGUUGCCUGGCUCCCUGAGUCACACAGAACAUCUGAAGAGGCAGUGUGGCAAAGGAAGUUAUUUUAGGUUGUUGUAAUAAUGGAAAGCUGACCAACAGAGGAUCAAACAAGUUCCGCUGCGAUGUUUUAGGACCUCAGCUGAGCACUCUUUCCUCUGCCUGAGGAGACCCAGCCUGGCCUCAGCAUGGCUUGUUAUCAUGCUGUUUUUUAUCAACUUAGCACCUGAGCGGCAUGGACACAGCCUUCUUUGAGGCUGUUGCCUUCAUUUCCCCUGAUUAAAAUUAUGUUGGUUAGAG
rnacentral:lncRNA from 1 species